GACGAACGCUGGCGGCGUGCCUAAUACAUGCAAGUCGAGCGAGUCUGCCUUGAAGAUCGGAGUGCUUGCACUCUGUGAGACAAGAUACAGGCUAGCGGCGGACGGGUGAGUAACACGUGGGUAACCUGCCCAAGAGAUCGGGAUAACACCUGGAAACAGAUGCUAAUACCGGAUAACAACAGAUGAUGCCUAUCAACUGUUUAAAAGAUGGUUCUGCUAUCACUCUUGGAUGGACCUGCGGUGCAUUAGCUAGUUGGUAGGGUAACGGCCUACCAAGGCGAUGAUGCAUAGCCGAGUUGAGAGACUGAUCGGCCACAUUGGGACUGAGACACGGCCCAAACUCCUACGGGAGGCAGCAGUAGGGAAUCUUCCACAAUGGACGCAAGUCUGAUGGAGCAACGCCGCGUGAGUGAAGAAGGGUUUCGGCUCGUAAAGCUCUGUUGUUGGUGAAGAAGGACAGGGGUAGUAACUGGCCUUUGUUUGACGGUAAUCAAUUAGAAAGUCACGGCUAACUACGUG
rnacentral:rRNA from 1 species